GAUGAAGAACGUAGCAAAAUGCGAUAAGUAAUGUGAAUUGCAGAAUUCAGUAAAUCAUCGAAUCUUUGAACGCACAUUGCGCCCGCCAGUAUUCUGGCGGGCAUGCCUGUUCGAGCGUCAUUUCAACCCUCAAGCACAGCUUGGUGUUGGGACUCGCGUUAAUUCGCGUUCCCCAAAUUGAUUGGCGGUCACGUCGAGCUUCCAUAGCGUAGUAGUAAAACCCUCGUUACUGGUAAUCGUCGCGGCCACGCCGUUAAACCCCAACUUCUGAAUGUUGACCUCGGAUCAGGUAGGAAUACCCGCUGAACUUAAGCAUAUCAAUAAGCGGAGGA
rnacentral:misc_RNA from 1 species